rnacentral:rRNA from 1 species
AGAGUGAACGCUGGCGGUAGGCCUAACACAUGCAAGUCGAACGGCAGCACAGGAGAGCUUGCUCUCUGGGUGGCGAGUGGCGGACGGGCGAGGAAUACAUCGGAAUCUACCUUUUCGUGGGGGAUAACGUAGGGAAACUUACGCUAAUACCGCAUAAGACCUUCGGGUGAAAGCCGGGGACCUUCGGGCCUGGCGCGGAUAGAUGAGCCGAUGUCGGAUUAGCUUGUUGGCGGGGUAAAAGCCCACCAAGGCGACGAUCCGUAGCUGGUCUGAGAGGAUGAUCAGCCACACUGGAACUGAGACACGGUCCAGACUCCUACGGGAGGCAG